AAAAACUACCUGUAGUAAAUGCGUUUGCAUGAAUUAUGAGUCAAUUUGUAUCUGUUAUAAAUCCAUUUAAGCAUAUUCUUAGAUUUUUUAUUUUUUAUUUUUGGUUAUUACAAUAUUUCAGAAUGUACUGUGUGAAAAGCUUCAUGCUUUAAGAUUGGAUGUGUUUUUGUUAAGUGCACUUAGUUUAUUUUUAAGCCUAGAUGUAUAAAAUUACAGUAUAAUGUAAAACCUCUUAAAUUAGUGGUAUUGUGUCUCAAUCUCUAAAUUCCUUUCACUGUUUAUUCAACACUGUCAUUUCAUUUUUACUUAGAAUGAAAGAACAGUUGGAGCUUGUGUUCUGGAGCUGCAAAUCACGAGCCCAAUCUUCAACAUCAUCUCAGCAAAAACAGGAAUGACAUUGAAGACACCUCGCCCCCACCUGACACCUGUACUUUUUUUGUAUUUUUAUGUGUAUUAUGUAUAAACUUUUUGUGAUCAUUAUGCCAUAAAUUUAUUCUGUUGCAAA